AUGAAUAAUUCUCUUGUAGUAUACCUAAAAAGUCUUCAAACUUUCUGUGCAUUUGCAUCCACCAAAUUCUCUUCUUUUGCCAAAUCUGCAUGGCAAUCUAUGAAAUACUCCUGCCGGUUCAUCUGCCAAACUAACCCGCUCUUUAUCCAAGUCACCUAUUUCACCUUGAUCUCAUUUGCUGGAUAUGAAGCUCUGAAGGUUCUUAACUCUCAAGAUAAGUCAAAUACUCUGAAAAACUUAGACGUGUUGUUUACUUCUGUAUCUGCAUCAACUGUCUCAAGCAUGGCUACUGUUGAAAUGGAGGAAUUCUCAAGCAAACAACUCUGGGUUUUGGCAAUUUUAAUGCUGAUUGGCAGUGAGGUGUUCACUUCAGUACUUGGUCUUCACUUCAUGAGGGCUAAAUUCAAUAAAGAAAAUUCACUCAACACAAGGGACCACAUAUCUCAUAUUGAUAUUGAAUCUAUUAAUGUUGCAAACUUUGAUCCCAACACUAGCCAUGGCACAAAAGAUGCAGUUUCAUUUUCUGAAAUCCGCCUGGCAAACAAACAACAUGUUGAUCCCAAGACAACUGUACUUUUAGGUACUGCAGUGACGGUCUAUCUUCUAAUAACAAACUUAGGGAGCUCCUUACUUAUUUACCUCUACCUUAAGUUAGUACCAGAUGCACAAGAAGUUCUGAAGAGAAAAGGGGUUGGGCUCUUUUUAUUUUCUGUAUUUACAGCUAUAUCCUCGGUUGCAAACUGUGGCUUCACUCCAGUAAACGAGAAUAUGGUUAUCUUCCAGAAGAACUCCGGUCUGCUAUUGCUAAUUAUUCCUCAGAUGCUAGUAGGAAAUACAUUAUUUGCACCAUGCUUGAGAUUCAUGGUGUGGUCACUCCAGAAGAUUACCGGGAAACAAGAAUGGUGUUACAUUCUUGAGCAUGCAAACGCCAUCGGAUACAGGCAUCUUAUGAGUACAAGAAAGUGUGCUUGCUUAAUUUUAACUGUUGUGGGCUUCAUAAUUCUGCAAACCAUAUUGUUUUGCGCUUUGGAAUGGAGCUCCGAGGCUUUGCAGGAAAUGAGCAGCUAUCAAAAGAUAGUAGGUGCUCUUUUUCAGUCAACCAAUGCAAGGCAUGCUGGUGAAACUAUUGUGGAUCUGUCAAGCAUCUCUUCGGCAAUAAUAUUCCUAUACAUCGUCAUGAUGUACCUUCCUGGCUACACAUCAUUUUUCACCAAUUAUGAUGAUCGGUAUUCUAAGGAUGAGAAGAGAUACAACAGAAAAGGGCUAUUGGAGGACUGGAUCUUGUCCCAGCUGUCUUAUUUGGCUAUCUUUGUCAUGCUAAUUUGCAUCACUGAGCGAGAAGCACUGACCACAGAUCCACUUAAUUUCAAUGUUUUCAGCUUACUGUUUGAAAUUGUAAGUGCAUAUGGAAACGUGGGCUUCUCGAUGGGUUACAGCUGCAAGAGGUUACUGAAACAAGACCUACACUGCAAGGAUGCUUCAUAUGGGUUUGUUGGGAAAUGGAGCGAUGAGGGGAAAAUGAUUCUGAUCAUAGUCAUGGUCUUCGGGAGGCUUAAGGGGUACAAUUUGAAGGGGGGAAAAGCAUGGAAACUUAGAUAG
rnacentral:rRNA from 1 species